rnacentral:rRNA from 1 species
UUAAAAGCUCGUAGUUGGAUUUCGGAAGGUCCUUAGCAGUCCGCCCCUUCGGGGAGCGGGCUGCUGGCCUCCUAUGUUCCUAACGGUCCUCAUCCGCGAGGGUGGGGAAUCAACCGCUAGGAUCGUUUACUUUGAGGAAAUUAGAGUGUUCAAAGCAGGCGUAACUCGCCUCCGAAUACGUUAGCAUGGGAUAAUGGAAUACGACUUCGGUCUUGUUUCGUUGGUUUCGCUUGGCUGAAGUAAUGAUUGAUAGGGACAGUUGGGGGCAUUAGUAUUUAGUUGUCAGAGGUGAAAUUCUAGGAUUUACUAAAGACUGACCAAUGCGAAAGCAUUUGCCAAGGAUGUUUUCAUUAAUCAAGAACGAAAGUAGGGGGAUCGAAGACGAUCAGAUACCGUCGUAGUCUCUACCGUAAACUAUGCCGACCAGGGAUCCGGAGAGUUUGCAUGGAUGACUCCCCGGGCACCUUGUGAGAAAUCAUAAGUGUUUGGGUUUUGGGGGGAGUAUGGUCGCAAGGCUGAAACUUAAAGGAAUUGACGGAAGGGCACCA